ACACAUCAUCCCUUUGCUCUGUCUUCCUGAGAGCCUCACCUUGGCCCACUCCUUUCUCUCUCAGGGAAAGGUGGAGUUUCAGCUACUCCUGCCAGUCUGAUGGAGGUUUUCAAGGAACCAGCCAGAACAGGAGGCAGCCAGAGAGACCAGUGCCAGGAAGAAUGUGGCUGCUGUCCUGGAAGGAGAGGACCCACUAGGAAGAACAGAACCCGGCCGGCUCAGCCCCUGAGGCUCACUCUCUCCAGGGACCUGGCCUCGGGCCCUAGUAGCCCACCUCCUACCACUGUGGGCCAUCACCAGCCCACUUCAGAAAAAGGUCAUUAAACCAGAUACUGCCCGCUUCCAAAUAAAUGAGAGCUUCAAGUAAAAAGACGGGGAAUGAGGAGCAUAGAAGUCACACAGCUGGGAAGGAUAAAGCCUGCACUGAGCUCACGAUAUCUCACUCAGGACUUUUCGCAGAAACCUGAAAUAUUAAAGCUGGAAAACACCUUCCAAGUCAUCUCAUCCAGUCUUGACGAGCCCAGAGAGUGGAAUGGACUUGCUUACGGACACGUACACAAGAUUCCACAUAUAAGUGAUACUUAUGUGCAGAGCACAUCAUGAGAAACGCU